rnacentral:ribozyme from 1 species
AAUAAGUGAGAAUGGAUGAACUGAACUUCGCUGCGAUUCCAAAAUUUUCUGUUUUUUUUUCUUCUUUUUUCUUUUUCUUCUUUCAUUCUUCUUUUCUUUGUGCGCUUU